rnacentral:rRNA from 1 species
GAUGAACGCUGGCGGCGUGCCUAAUACAUGCAAGUAGAACGCUGAAGGAGGAGCUUGCUCUUCUGGAUGAGUUGCGAACGGGUGAGUAACGCGUAGGUAGCCUGCCUGGUAGCGGGGGAUAACUAUUGGAAACGAUAGCUAAUACCGCAUGACAACAGUUAUUGCAUGAUAACUGUUUAAAAGGGGCAACUGCUCCACUACCAGAUGGACCUGCGUUGUAUUAGCUAGUUGGUGAGGUAACGGCUCACCAAGGCGACGAUACAUAGCCGACCUGAGAGGGUGAUCGGCCACACUGGGACUGAGACACGGCCCAGACUCCUACGGGAGGCAGCAGUAGGGAAUCUUCGGCAAUGGACGGAAGUCUGACCGAGCAACGCCGCGUGAGUGAAGAAGGUUUUCGGAUCGUAAAGCUCUGUUGUAAGAGAAGAACGAGUGUGAGAGUGGAAAGUUCACACUGUGACGGUAUCUUACCAGAAAGGGACGGCUAACUACGUG